ACAACUUAGAAUACAGAUGUCAGGAAAGCAUGUUUGUGUCAGGUCUUUGAGUCCAAGCCUGCAUGCUAAUGUCAGGCCUCUUAGCCUAAGCCUGCACGUAUACAUCCAGAUGGCCUGAAGUAACUGAAGAAUCACAAAAGAAGUGAAAAUGGCCGAUUCCUGCUUUUACUGAUGAUAUUACCUUGUGAAAUUCCUUCUCCUGGCUCAAAACUUCCCCCACUGAGCACGUUGUGACCCCCCACCCCUGCUUGCCAGAGAACAACCUCCUUUGACUGCGCACAUGACAUUUGGUGCCAUGACUCAGAUUGGGGGACCCCCCCGUUGGGAGAUCAAUCCCCUGUCCUCCUGUUCUCUGCUCUGUGAGAAAGAUCCACCUACGACCUCGGGUCCUCAGACCUACCAGUCCAAGGAACAUCUCACCAAUUUUAAAACAGUAGAGACAGAGGAGACACGUUUUAUCCAUGAACCCAAAGCUCCAGUGCCGGUCACUGACUCAGGAAGACAAUCUUCCCUUGGUGUUUAAUCACUAUGAGGACGCCUGCCUGAUUAUUCACCCACACUUCAGAGGUGUCUGAUCACCACGGGGAUGCCUGCCUUGAUCCUUCACCUUAGUGGCAAGUACCACUUUCCUGGGGGGCAAGUACCCCCAACCCCUUCUCUCCAUGUCUCUACCUUCUCUUUUCUCUAGGCUUGCUUUCUUCACUAUAGGCAACCUUCCACCCUUCAUUUCUCCUUAUUCUCUCUUAGCCUGUGUUCUCAAGAACUUAAAACCUCUUCAACUCACACUUGACCUAAAACCUAAAUGCCUUAUUUUCUUCUGCAAUGCCGCCUGACCCCAAUACAAACUUGACAAUGAUUCCAAAUAGCCAGAAUAUGGCACUUUAAAUUUCUCCAUCAUAUGAGAUCUAGAUAAUUCUUGUUGUAAAAUGGGCAAAUGGUCUGAGGUGCCUGACAUCCAGGCAUUCUUUUACAUAUCAGUCCCUCCCUAGUCUCUGUUCCCAGUGUGAUUCAUCCCAAAUCAUUUUUUCCCUCCCACCUGUCCCCCUCAGUCCCAACCCCAAGCAUCACUGAGUCUUUUAAAUCUUCCUUUUCUACCGACCCAUUUGACCUCUCCCCUGCUCCCCAGUCUGCUCCUCCUCAGGUCGCUCUCCACCAGGCUUAAUCAGGCUCCAAUUCUUCCUCAGUCUCCACUCCCCAACCCUAUAAUUCUUCUAUCACCUCCCCUCCUCACACCCAGUGUGGCUUACAGUUUCAUUCUAUGACUAGCCCUCCCCCACCUGCCCAGUAAUUUCCUCUUAAAGAGCUGGCUGGAGCUAAAAGCAUAGUCAAGGUUAAUGCUCCUUUUUCUUUAUCUGGCCUCUCCCAAAUCAGUUAGCAUUUAGGCUCUUUGUCAUCAAAUAUAAAAACUCAGCUCAGUUCAUGACCUGUUUGUCAACAAUCCUUAGACACUUUACUGCCCUAGACCCAGAGGGGCCAGAAGGCCGUCUUAUUCUCAAUAUGCAUUUUGUCACCCAGUCAGCUCCUGACCUUAAUAAAAAGCUUCAAAAUUAGUAUCAGGCCCUCAAACCCUACAACAGGAAUUAAUCCACCUCACCUUCAAGGUAUACAAUAAUAGAGAAGAGUUGCAAUUACUUGCCUCUGCUAUAAGAGAAACCCCAGCCACAUUUUCCAGCACACAAGAACUUCAAAAUGCCUAAGCCACAGCAGUCAGGCAUUCCUUCAGGACCUCCUCCCCCAGGAUCUUGCUUCAAGUGCCAGAAAUCUGGCCACUGGGCCAAAGAAUGCCUGCAGUCCACGAUUCCUCCUAAGCCAUGUCCCAUCUGUGUGGGACCCACUGGAAAUCAGACUGUCCAACUCGCCCAGCAGCCACUUCCAGAGCCCCUGGAACUCUGGCCCAAGGCCCUCUACCUGACUCCUUCCCAGGUCUUCUCAGCUUAGUGACUGAAGACUGACACUGCCUGAUUUUCUCUGAAGCCUCCUGGACCAUCACAGAUGCUUUGGGUAACUCUUACAGUGGAAAGUAAGUCCAUCCCCUUCUUGAUCAGUAUGGAGGCUGCCCACUCCACAUUACCUUCUUUUCAAGGGCAUGCUUCCCUUGCAUCCAUAAGUGUUGUGGGUACUGACGGCUAGGCUUCUAAACCUCUUAAAAUUCCCCAACUCUGAUGCCAACAUGGACAACAUUCUUUUAUGCACUCCUUUUAGUUAUCCCCACCUGCCCGGCUCUCUUAUUAGGUUGAGACAUUUUAACUAAAUGAUCUGCUUCCCUGACUAUUCCUAGGCUAUAGCCACACCUCAUUGCCACCCUUUUCCCUAGUUCAAAGCCUCUUUCACGUCCUCCCCUUUUAUUUCCCCACCUUAAUCCACAAGUAUAGGAUACCGCUACUCCCUCCUUGGCAACUGAUCAUGCACCCCUUACCAUCCCAUAAAAACCUAAUCACUCUUAACCCGUUCAACACCAAUAUCCCAUCCAACAUCACACUUCAAAAGGAUUAAAGCCUGUAAUCACUCGCCUGUUACAGCAUGGCCUUUUAAAGCCUAUUAACUCUCCUUACAAUUCUCUAUUUUACCUAUCCAAAAAAACCGGACGAAUCUUACAAGUUAGUUCAGGAUCUAUGCCUUAUCAAUUAAAUUGUUUUGCCUAUCCACUCCAUGGUGCCAAACCCACAUACUCUCUUAUCCUCAAUACCUCCCUCCACAACCCCUCCACAACCCAUUAUCCUGUUCUGGAUCUCAAACAUGCUUUCUUUACUAUUCCUUUGCACCCUUCAUCCCAGCCUCUCUUAGCUUACACUUGGAUGGACCCUGACACCCAUCAGGCUCAGCAAAUUACCUGGGUUGUACUGCCACAAGGCUUCACGGACAGCCCCCAUUACUUCAGUCAAGCCCAAAUUUCUUCCUCAUCCAUUACCUAUCUCAGCAUAAUUUUUCAUGAAAACACACAUACUCUCCCUGCUGAUCGUGCCUGGCUAAUCUCCCAAACCCCAACCCCUUCUACUAAACAACAACUCCUUUCCUUCCUAUGCAUGGUUAGGUAUUUCUGCCUUUGGAUACCUAGUUUUACAUCCUGACUAAACCAUUAUAUACUAAACCAUUAUUAUAUUACAAAAGCAAACCUAGGUGACUCCAUAGAUCCUAAAUCAAACUUUCCCCACUUCCCUUUCCAUGUCUUAAAAAAAGCCCUAAAGCUGCUCCCACACUAGCUCUCCCUAACUCAUUCCAACCCUUUUUCAUUACAUACAGUCAAAUUACAGGACUGUGCAGUCAGAAUUCUUACACAAGAGCCAGGACUACACCUUGCAGCCUUUCUGUCCAAAUUACUUGACCUUAACUGAUUUAGGCUGCCCCCCACAUUAUUCCAGAUACCACACCUGAUUCCCAUGACUGUAUCUCUCUGAUCCACCUGACAUUCACUCCAUUUCCCCAUAUUUCUUCUUUCCUGUUCCUCACCCUGGUCACACUUGGUUUAUCGAUGGCCAUUCCACUGGGCCUAAUUGCCACUCAUUAGCAAAGGCAGGCUAUGCCAUAGUAUCUUCCACAUCUGUCCUUGAGGCUACUGCUCUGCCCCCUCCACUAUGUCUUAGCAAGCCGAACUCAUUACCUUAACUCGAGCCCUCACUCUUGCAAAGUGACUAUGUGUCAAUAUCUAUACUGACUCUAAAUAUGCCUUCCAUAUCCUGCACCACCAUGCUGUUAUAUGGGCAGAAAGAAUUUUCCUCAUUAAACAAGGGUCCUCCAUCCUUAAUGCCUCUUUAAUAAAAAUUCUUCUCAAGGCUGCUUUACUUCCAAAGGAAGCUGGAGUCAUUCACUGCAAGGGCCAUCAAAAGGCAUCAGAUCCCAUCACUCAGGGUAAUGCUUACACUGUUAAGGUAGCUUAAAAAGCAGCUAGCAUUCCAAUUUCUGUCUCUCAUGGAAGUUUUUCUCCUUCUCAUUGGUCACUCCCACCUACUCCCCAACUGAAACUUCCACCUAUCGAUCUCUUCCCACACAAGGCAAAUGGUUCUUGGACCAAGGAUCUCCUUCCAGCCUCAUAGGUCCAUUCUAUUCCGUCAUCAUUUCAUAACCUCUUCCAUGUAAGUUACAAGCUGCUAGCCCACCUCUUAGAACCUCUCAUUUCCUUUCCAUCAUGGAAAUCUAUCCUCAAGGAAAUCACUUCUCAGUGUUCUAUCUGCUAUUUGACUACUCCUCAGGGAUUGUUCAGGCCCUCUCCCUUCGCUACACAUCAAGCUCAGGGAUUUGUCCCUUCCCAGGACUGGCAAAUUGACUUUACUCACAUGCUCUGUGUCAGGAAACUAAAAUACUUCUUGGUCUGUGUAGAUACUUUCACUGGAUGGGUAGAGGCUUUUCCCACAGGGUCUGA